CUCCUGCUCCAUCCCAGACAGGUUCAGGCUCUCAGGCUCUCCUGCUCCAUCCCAGACAGGUUCAGACUCUCAGGCUCUCCUGCUCCAUCCCAGACAGGUUCAAUCUCUCAGGCUCUCCUGCUCCAUCCCAGACAGGUUCAAUCUCUCAGGCUCUCCUGCUCCAUCCCAGACAGGUUCAAUCUCUCAGGCUCUCCUGCUCCAUCCCAGACAGGUUCAGACUCUCAGGCUCUCCUGCUCCAUCCCAGACAGGUUCAAUCUCUCAGGCUCUCCUGCUCCAUCCCAGACAGGUUCAAUCUCUCAGGCUCUCCUGCUCCAUCCCAGACAGGUUCAGACUCUCAGGCUCUCCUGCUCCAUCCCAGACAGGUUCAGACUCUCAGGCUCUCCUGCUCCAUCCCAGACAGGUUCAAUCUCUCAGGCUCUCCUGCUCCAUCCCAGACAGGUUCAAUCUCUCAGGCUCUCCUGCUCCAUCCCAGACAGGUUCAGGCUCUCAGGCUCUCCUGCUCCAUCCCAGGCAGGUUCAAUCUCUCAGGCUCUCCUGCUCCAUCCCAGACAGGUUCAGGCUCUCAGGCUCUCCUGCUCCAUCCCAGAGCAUCCAGUCAGGGUCUGGCAGCACUGCCCCUGCUGCUGCUGCCUCUGGGGCUUCAGGAGGGCAGGGCUGAGAGUGAGAGCAGAUUUUCCUCUCUGGUUCCAGUUCCCCACAGAGCAGCUGGGGUUGCUGCCCGUUGUAAGCCACAGCUUGUAAACAAGAGGCACAGCAAGUCUUAAUUAGCAUGACUUACAUUGUUAAUUGCAGUUUGAGUGGCUUUUUAU